UUUAUGGUGGUUGUAAAAAAUCCAGCCAAUUUGGUUCUCGUUUCAAAUUAGGUCAACUAUAGGUCAAACUUAGUUACUCUUAUAAACCUAUAUUUAUAUAUCAUAGACUUCAAAGAGCAACCACUAUCAAUUAAAAGAAAAUGGAAAAACCAACUGUUGGAUGAGAUUAUUACUAUAAAUUAUGAAUGUGGUAAAAAAAUAUAGCCAAUUUCACCAUUUUUUCGAAUCCGAUCGAAUUGGUCAACCUUCGUCACUUGUAUGUUUUCUUGGUUAACCGAUGGCGUGACGACCGUGAAAUAUGAUUGCAUAGGGGGUGGUACUCUAGACACUACACAUGCAAUUUAAUUUUGACAAUCUAACUGUUCAAACUUUAGAUCUUUAUAUAUAGAUUGUCUAUGCAAAAUACUCGGACCUUCAUACAUAGAUUGUAUAUGCAAAACCUUUUACAAAAUAAUCAUUUAGUUAGCCAUUAUCAUAACAUUAGCCUUAAAACCUAACCCCUAAUCCCUAAACUCUUAAACCUAAACCCUAAACUCUAAACUCUAAAUCCUAAACCCUAAACGUACCCUAAUCCCUAAACCCUAAACCUAAACUUUAUAUUUUUAUAUUGUAUAUACAAAACCUUUUUCAAACUGAAAAUCAUUUAGUUAACUAUUGUCGUGACCUAAGUCUUGAAUCCCCUAAACCCUAAAGAGAAAGAUUAAAGCGGGCUCUUAAAAAAACCAAAAAAAAAUUGAAAGUGGAGCAUUUAAAUGUUCAAAGUGGCAAUGAAAAAAGAAAUGGUGCCCAAGACGAAAAUAAAAAACUUAAUUAAUAGAGAAACACGAUUAAAAAAAUAAAAAUAAAACCCAAUUCUCUCGACCCUGGCUUUCUCUUUCUCUCGCCUUCUCGUCAAUUUCUUCUGGGUUGAUUAGGGUUUUGCUUCUUCACUACAAUUCUCUCCAUCCUUAGUUUCUUUUUGUUUCAAUUUGGAGAAAUCCAAUCAAAGAUGCCCCAAAAUCCCCAAAUCGACUGCCCAAACCCCAAAAUUGCAUCUUUUCCGCAAUUCCAAUCAGCAUGAUUCCUGUGAGACUCAAGCGGAAGGAAAUGGAGGUCCGAUUCGCGACAAAACCGAAGGCAGUGGCGCUACUACAUCGGCGACGACAACGCCAGGUCGUCAGAGGAGAUGAAGUCGUUGAGCCAGAUCUUGAGGUUCAGAGAGGUGGACUCGCACCUUGUGCGUCGACGUUGUGAUUUUGACCCAGCCAGUCUUGCCUCCCUCGCUGCUCCAAAAUUUCUGAGCAGGACCAUGCGAAGCGUAGUCGUCUUCGUCAAACACAGUCGACUCGGAAGCUUAAGAACAAGAACUUGAAUUUGGCUCCUUGUACUCUGCUUGUUGAAUUUAUCAGUUGAAGCUUGUAGGAGAAACAUCAAGUUCAAUGGUUCAGUUGCAUGUUCAAAGGUGGAAUCACAUCUUGUUGACGCUCGUGUGCAUAUGCUCACCAACCAAAAAGAAUGUGAUGUGUGUAAUGGUUCAGGGAAGGGCACAUAAGGAGCAAUCUGGGUUUGAUUGUCAAGAUGCAAUUAGAUUCCAGUAAGGUUUUGUUGAUAUUUGGCACUCCAACUAGAUCUUUGCCAAUGAGUCACUUGAAUAUCACAAAACCUGUGCAGGCGUGUUGUGAAGGUACUGGACAUGAAGUUUAAUCUUCCAUUUUGAAGAGCCUUGUGAAUAAUGUGAAGAUGUGUGAGGCUUGUCCCGUUAAGCUUUUUUGAAUAAAAGUUAAAGCUGCUAGUAUGUACUUUUGCCUUUGAAAUAUAGGUUUGGAUCUUGUCCUUCCUUCAAGUCUGAGAAUAAUGAACUACUAAGAGAGUUUUGUAUUGUAAACCAUGU